rnacentral:lncRNA from 10 species
AAGGGCGCUGCCCUGGACUCAGGGAGCUCACUCCUCCUCUCUGGGCAACAGAGAAAAGUCACCCACUGCAGCAAAAGCCAUGAGAAUAUGCUCAGUGAUAAGGCAGUGGCGUUAAAUCUGCAGGCAGUGGGCUAUCUGUGGGUCCUUAAAUCUAUUUAGUGCAUCUUGAACAGUAUUUUUAAGCUGGGAUAAGUGGAAUAGGAAGGAGUGGAGUGGAGCAUGAUGAUCAUGGACAAAGCACUUAAAACCACACAGUGUAAGGGACUACAGUCCCUUAGGAGCUGCUUUUGCAAUAAUUUACCUGAAAACUGAUGAUUCCCCCAACAACCCUGGGAGGUGGCAAGAUAGGAUCAUGCUUCUCCUUGCAAAGCUGAGACGAUGGGGACUUGGCAAGGCUGAGAGACUCUCUGGAGGUUGACAGCUGAGAGGUCAGAGCACCAGACCUGGGGGUCCCACAGCCCAGCUCCCAGUGUGGAGGGUCCUGCUGUGCCCACUGCCACCAAAAACACAGCUUCGCCCAGCAUCAUGCAGUAUCUGCCACACAGCGUCUGUCUGCCACAUGGCAUCUGCCACCUGAACUAUCUCCAGGCACCUCUGCAGUUACAGCAACAGAUUUUCAAUGCCGGGCUCGACACUCUAAAUUGAUUUCAAGACCCGCUAAUGCGUCACAGCCUGCGAUUUGAUAAACUCCACGCUAAGACACAUCCCGUUGUGAGGUGUUCGACCCAGAGGCCAUUUAUCCUGCA